AGCGAACGCUGGCGGCAGGCCUAACACAUGCAAGUCGAACGAAGUCUUCGGACUUAGUGGCGGACGGGUGAGUAACACGUGGGAACGUACCUUUUGGUUCGGAACAACUCAGGGAAACUUGAGCUAAUACCGGAUGAGCCCUUAGGGGGAAAGAUUUCUCGCCGAAAGAGCGGGCCGCGUUAGAUUAGCUAGUUGGUGAGGUAAAGGCUCACCAAGGCUACGAUCUAUAGCUGGUCUGAGAGGAUGAUCAGCCACACUGGGACUGAGACACGGCCCAGACUCCUACGGGAGGCAGCAGUGGGGAAUCUUGCACAAUGGGCGAAAGCCUGACGCAGCCAUGCCGCGUGAAUGAUGAAGGUCUUAGGAUUGUAAAAUUCUUUUACCAGGGACGAUAAUGACGGUACCUGGAGAAAAAGCCCCGGCUAACUUCGUGCCAGCCGCCGCAGUAAAAC
rnacentral:rRNA from 1 species